rnacentral:sRNA from 1 species
GAUCGUGCUUUUGCCAAUUGAAUAGGGUGUCGGCUAACCCCAGAGUAAAGGGGGUGAUGCCUCUGAGUAUGUAUGAAUCGUUGAUGGUGAUGAUCGCAUUCAGUUCGUUCAUCGUGUCCGUUCUCGGCUUAGUUGUCGCGAUUUUACGCAUAAAAAAAUAGACUCCCUAUUCUGACGUGAAUGCGGGUGAGUCUAUUUUACAGGCUGCGCCCUUUGGCAGAAGCGCUUAUCCGGGAGGACCGCAGUGCCAGCUGUGGUCC